rnacentral:lncRNA from 1 species
UAAGAUAAAAAUUAAAAUCAUAUUUGAGUAAACUUCUAAUGAAAUAUGCUUAAAAGUCAAGGCUAGUAGACCUAAGUUUUAAGUAAAUUUAAAUGAAGCCUACUCUAUCAAAAAAAAAUAGAUCUGAAAAAUAAAUACAUUAAAAAUAUGAAAUAAGUUUAAAUCUAAAAACCUUUUAAAAAUAUUAUUUAAUAGACAAAAUAGUAAUAAAUUAAAGACAUAGAAUUUUAAUAUGUAACUUUAUUUGAAUAUAAAUACUAGAACACAUAUUUAAAAUCUAUAGAUGUAAACCUUACAUUUCUAGGAGGAGAAGAGAACAACUACA